rnacentral:rRNA from 1 species
CAGUCGCCGCGGUAAUACGUAGGGUGCAAGCGUUAAUCGGAAUUACUGGGCGUAAAGCGUGCGCAGGCGGUUUGUUAAGACAGAUGUGAAAUCCCCGGGCUUAACCUGGGAACUGCAUUUGUGACUGGCAAGCUAGAGUAUGGCAGAGGGGGGUGGAAUUCCGCGUGUAGCAGUGAAAUGCGUAGAUAUGCGGAGGAACACCGAUGGCGAAGGCAGCCCCCUGGGCCAAUACUGACGCUCAUGCACGAAAGCGUGGGGAGCAAACAGGAUUAGAUACCCCUGUAGUCCCUGUCUCUUAUAU